GAUGAACGCUGGCGGCGUGCCUAAUACAUGCAAGUCGAGCGAACUUUUGGGAGCUUGCUCCCAAAAGUUAGCGGCGGACGGGUGAGUAACACGUGGGCAACCUGCCUAUAAGACUGGGAUAACUUCGGGAAACCGGAGCUAAUACCGGAUAACAUAUGAUACCACAUGGUCUCAUAUUAAAAGAUGGCUUUUAGCUAUCACUUAUAGAUGGGCCCGGGGCGCAUUAGCUAGUUGGUGAGGUAAUGGCUAACGAAGGCGACGAUGCGUAGCCGACCUGAGAGGGUGAUCGGCCACACUGGGAUUGAGACACGGCCCAGACUCCUACGGGAGGCAGCAGUAGGGAAUCUUCCGCAAUGGACGAAAGUCUGACGGAGCAACGCCGCGUGAGCGAAGAAGGUCUUCGGAUCGUAAAGCUCUGUUGUUAGGGAAGAACAAGUACCGUUCAAAUAGGGCGGUACCUUGACGGUACCUAACCAGAAAGCCACGGCUAACUACGUGCCAGCAGCCGCGGUAA
rnacentral:rRNA from 1 species